rnacentral:rRNA from 1 species
GUAGGGUCCAAGCGUUAAUCGGAAUUACUGGGCGUAAAGCGUGCSCAGGCGGCUUCGCAAGUCAGACGUGAAAUCCCCGGGCUUAACCUGGGAAUGGCGUUUGAAACUACGGAGCUGGAGUGUGGCAGAGGGAGGUAGAAUUCCACGUGUAGCGGUGAAAUGCGUAGAUAUGUGGAGGAAUACCGAUGGCGAAGGCAGCCUCCUGGGCCAACACUGACGCUCAUGCACGAAAGCGUGGGGAGCAAACAGGAUUAGAUACCCUGGUAGUCCACGCCCUAAACUAUGUCAACUAGUUGUUGGGGGAGUUAAAUCCCUUAGUAACGCAGCUAACGCGUGAAGUUGACCGCCUGGGGAGUACGGUCGCAAGAUUA